AAACCUGUGCUUGGGGAACUGAACUUUGAGAAAUGCAAAGCGCCUUGGUGUUCCGGGAUGAGCACAUUGGAGCUUAGGUCCCUCCAUUCCUGGUAGUAGAGAAAGCAGCGGAUGGUUCAGCCUGGAGGCAGAGAAAGAGCCCAACAACUACAAGGAAGCUCAAGAUUCAUCUUGGAGGAUAAGCAGCAGCAAGAGCCUAUGGAGGCAGGGAAGAAGCCUCUGUCAAGAGGUGCUGUUCACUUUUGUAGAUCUCUAAUAAAAAUGAAGUUUUCAAUCUC